GACGAACGCUGGCGGCGUGCUUAACACAUGCAAGUCGAACGAUAAGGCCCUGCUUGCUUGGGGGGUUAGAGGCGCAAGCGUGUGUAACACGCGAGUAUCCUGCCCUUUACUCUGUGGUAUGCCUGGGAGACAGGGGCUAUUAUCGGAGAGAGGCGUCCACCGCACGUUGUGUGGUUGGGAAAUUUAGCGGUGUUGGGUGGACUCGCGGCUUAUCAGCUUGUUGGUGGGGUAAUGGCUCACCAAGGCGCUGACGGGUAGCCGGCCUGAGAGGGUGACCGGCCACAUUGGGACUGAGAUACGGCCCAGACUCCUACGGGAGGCAGCAGUGGGGAAUAUUGCACAAUGGGCGGAAGCCUGAUGCAGCGACGCCGCGUGCGGGAUGACGGCCUUCGGGUUGUAAACCGCUUUCAGCAGUGAAGAAGCGAGAGUGACGGUACUUGGUGAAGAAGCACCGGCUAACUACGUG
rnacentral:rRNA from 1 species